UACAUACAGUCUAAUUCUCUCUCUCUAUAUAUAUAUUUAUUUAUUAUAUACACAAAUAUGAAUCUAAUUCUAUAUAUAUACACAAUCUAAUUCUUUCUCUCUCUACAUAUAUAUACACACAUAUACAUAGUCUAAUUCUCUCUCUCUAUCUAUCUAUCUAUAUAUAUACACACACAAUCUAUAUUUUAUCUCUCUCUCUCUAUAUAUAUUUUUUUCUCUCUUUCUCUAUAUAUAUACACAUGAGUCUAAUAAUACAUAUGUACAUAUAUAGUCUCUCUUUCUUUUUUUUCACUCUCUCUUCAUAUAUGUAUAUAUAUAUAUAUAUACACACACACAGUCUCUUUUUUUCUUUUCUUUUUUUUCUUCUCUCUCUCUAUAUAUAAGUUUAAUUCCUUAUUUCAAACUUUUAAUAUGAUCCUUCAGUAUGUCAAGUAAGAAUAUGUUGUAUCAAUAAUUUUCACUUGUACAUUUUCAAUUUUGAAUUUAAACAAUGAGAUAGAAAUUACACAAAUCAGGUUAAAAAAAAUUAAAAAGGAAAUAGAAAAAAAAGCAUUUAUGAUGAUGGAUAAAUGAAUGAAAUAAAAGUGCAAAUGCAUUGUUUAUAAAUAUUACAAAAGGUCACCUUUUAUUACAAUUUAUUUUUUGACCUAAAAAUUAUGUUAAGUUUUAAAAUAUCAAAUAAUUCAUCUAUCUUUUGUUUCCGAAGGCUCUACAGUAAUCUUUUUAGUUAAUAUUAUUUUUUAAAUAUAAAUAAGUAAAUAACACUUCUUUACAUAAAUCAAGAGUUCUCCAUAAAUAAACCAACAACUCUUGAUUUAUGUUGACAGCCAUUUGUUGUACAAAGUACAAAUGUUUUGAAUGGAUGGUAUUUCCUUUUUUGCAUCAGAUUGGAUGUCUAUUAAUGAAAUUUUCUCGAUACAAGUGAUAAUGCACUAGCUUUUUUGAAUACAUCGUCCCAAAAAAUAGGACCUAAAUGACCUUGUGUUUGUAUUAUUUUCAUUCUACAUCCUUUGUUGAAUAUUAUUAUUUUCCAGGUAUUUGAAUAUCUAACAAAGGAAACAUCUGACAAAAAAGAUAUCUCGGAUUACUCCAAGAAAAAUUUGCAAUCAAUUCCAAUUCCUCUUUUGAUCCACUAUUGAAGGAUACAAAGUUUAAAUAUAUGACAACAAUAUACACAACAAAAACACUUUUUCACUUGUCUCUCUUUUUCCAAUCUAACAAGUACAUACUUCAUGCUCACUUUCGCCAAGUUUUUGGAAAAGAAAAAUAAAGAAAAAUAGAUGAAAUAAGUGGUACUUCAAUACAGGCAAUAUAACCACAUAACUCUCCAAAACUUUUCAAAGACAUCAUGGUGACUCAUGGUAGUGAAAAGGGGUGGGUAUUUCUUUUGAAAAUUCUCCUUUCUCACUUCAUACACACAAAGUGCUGCAUGGUAUAAGAUGUGUUUUGAAACUAUUUAUUUAUUGUUAUUACCCGUAAUAGUCUUAUUAUUGUUGUUAUUAUUACCGUUAUUAUUUAGGAGUUUCAUUUUUCAUUUUCUUUUCACAUAGCAUUUUGAAUGAAGUUCACUGUAAUUGUCAUGUUUGUUGAGCAUUCAUUAUGCAUAAGUUGAUGCAUAUAGAAUCAAAGAUGUAUGGAAAUUGUUAAUACUGGUAGUAUAUUUGUUGGUAUUUGCAAUAAUUUGGUUCAUGAUACCUGUAAAUAAAUAAAUAAUUAAUUAUAUCCUAUGUUAUACAAAAACAAAUUUAUUAUAAUUCAAAAUAUUUACACACAUCUGUCAUGUGACAUGUUUAAACAAUUUAUUGAUUUUUCUUCAAUUUAAUGCAGUUCAAUAUAGAACACAAUCAAAAUCGAUGCACUAGUGCAAUUAGUAUGCACUGCUUUAUUGCAAGCAAAUAUAUUUUUUUCCAUUAUUUAUUAUUUAUUUGUGAUGACAAUUAUCUACUGUGUUUGCAAAGAAAUGUGUUAAAACGAAACAUUGAUAUUAUCCCAAUCCACGUGUUUGUUUUGAAAAUGUUUUAUGCCUGAUUUCAGGCAAUAUAGAAUUUAAAAAAAAAACCAUAAUUGGCACUAAAUAAACAUAAUAAACAUAAUAAACAUUAUUUAAUUUUGAAAUUUGUCACACUGUACAAAAAUUAUUCAUCUCAAUGGAACAUAACCUAGAUUCUGUCGUA
rnacentral:lncRNA from 1 species